UACAGGGGGUGCAAACGUUGCUCGGAAUUAUUGGGCGUAAAGCGCGCGUAGGCGGCUACUUAAGUCGGAUGUGAAAGCCCUUGGCUCAACUGAGGAAGUGCACCCGAAACUGAGUAGCUGGAGUACGAAAGGGGGUCGCGGAAUUCCCGGUGUAGAGGUGAAAUUCGUAGAUAUCGGGAGGAACACCGGUGGCGAAGGCGGCGACCUGGGCCAAUAUUGACGCUGAGGUGCGAAAGCGUGGGGAGCAAACAGG
rnacentral:rRNA from 1 species